UGGGGAAUUUUGGGCAAUGGGGGAAACCCUGACCCAGCAACGCCGCGUGAAGGAUGAAGUAUUUCGGUAUGUAAACUUCGAAAGAAUAGGAAGAAUAAAUGACGGUACUAUUUAUAAGGUCCGGCUAACUACGUGCCAGCAGCCGCGGUAAUACGUAGGGACCAAGCGUUGUUCGGAUUUACUGGGCGUAAAGGGCGCGUAGGCGGCAUGACAAGUCACUUGUGAAAUCUCUGGGCUUAACCCAGAACGGCCAAGUGAUACUGUCGCGCUAGAGUGCAGAAGGGGCAAUCGGAAUUCUUGGUGUAGCGGUGAAAUGCGUAGAUAUCAAGAGGAACACCUGAGGUGAAGACGGGUUGCUGGGCUGACACUGACGCUGAGGUGCGAAAGCGUGGGGAGCAAACAGGAUUAGAUACCCAUGUAGUCCCUGAGCGGGCUGGCAAGGCGCAU
rnacentral:rRNA from 1 species